UACGUAGGGUGCAAGCGUUGUCCGGAAUUAUUGGGCGUAAAGAGCUCGUAGGCGGUCUGUCGCGUCUGCUGUGAAAACUCGGGGCUUAACCCCGGCCUGCAGUGGGUACGGGCAGACUAGAGUGCGGUAGGGGAGACUGGAAUUCCUGGUGUAGCGGUGAAAUGCGCAGAUAUCAGGAGGAACACCGGUGGCGAAGGCGGGUCUCUGGGCCGUAACUGACGCUGAGGAGCGAAAGCAUGGGAGCGAACAGG
rnacentral:rRNA from 1 species